GUGCCAGCAGCCGCGGUAAUACGUAGGGUGCGAGCGUUAAUCGGAAUUACUGGGCGUAAAGUGUGCGCAGGUGGCUUCGCAAGUCGAGUGUGAAAGCCCCGGGCUUAACCUGGGAAUUGCGCUCGAAACUACGGAGCUGGAGUAUGGCAGAGGGAGGUGGAAUUCCACGUGUAGCGGUGAAAUGCGUAGAGAUGUGGAGGAACACCAAUGGCGAAGGCAGCCUCCUGGGCCAAUACUGACACUCAUGCACGAAAGCGUGGGGAGCAAACAGGAUUAGAAACCCUUGUAGUCC
rnacentral:rRNA from 1 species